GAUAGCUGCUGGAGGGGUCACAGUGCCAUGCCACCCCUCUCCAGCCUGUCUCAUGACAGCAUCCCCAGUCCCCACCGGUCUCCGAACGUGUUGGCUACCGAGCUAACCCCUGCUCGCUGCUCAUCUGCUGACUUGCAAAAUCACAUCUUUCCCAGUGGUGGUGUGGUGGCAGUGACAGCCUCGGAGGGAGCUGGUCAGCUCUGAGUCAGUAUUGUGACCCCAGGGCCAGAGGCUUAUCAGCCACUCCUCCUCUUCACACCCUGUGGCUGUGGAGCUUUCCCAGUUUGGGGAAUGCUGAAAGUAAACAUGGUGGCUGUGGAAGGUGCUUGUGCAUCAGUAUUUUUCCAUGAAAGGACCUAUCCCAAAGUAGAAAAGCAGUCAGAAUUAGAUGCUGAAGAUAGCUGUUAUUUCUGCUCUGCUGUUCCUGACUUGCUGUCUCUUCAAAUGGACCUGUGCCCACUGCUACCUCUAAGGCUGUGGAGACUUUCAUUAGUUCCUUCAGCUUCCUCUAUCAGUCACUUAGACCUUUUAAUUUGCCAUUUGUAUCUGACAUCUAGAAUUUUCACUUACCCAUUCCUGACAUGUUACUCACUGUAAGGUUGCUUCUCUUUCCUUUAAACCCUUACCCAGAAUUGGGUUUUGAUCACCAUUCCUGCCUUGUGUAGGUCAAAGUAAUUUUGGGACAAUUCAACAGGCAACCUGCUUUCACUUUGAGUCUCUGUGUUCAACAUAUCCCCUGUCCUCACUCAAGUUUACAAUUGCUUUAAUGUUUGGUAAAAGGGAGUUUCUCAAGCCAUAUUUUUUCUACACCUCCAGAUGAUGCUUAUUCCAGUUCUCUAUGUUUCACCUAACUUAGUCCCAUUCAUGUGCUGGGAUCAACCAAAUCACUGGCAUCCAGGUAUCUGCUAAAUUUUGCAUCAGUGAUUAUUCAGUGUUCAGGUGUCAGUUUGGUGAAUGUGUCACAAAUCAUCAUUUUUAAGGUAUCGGCUUCAUUCCCCUGCCCACUUUUUUUUUUUUUUUCCGUUGGAAAUUUUUCAUUUGGAAUCCUAAUUAAGAAAUACAGUGAUGCCUAUAAAUGUAUGCAUCAUGCUGGUGAUAUCACUUAUUUGCUCUGGGCUUGCCAGGUUGUCUCUGUCAUCUUUUAACAACAGAAGGUGAGUCACUGUUCUGGCAUGUGCAGAAAACCUAAGGACACAUUUCUGUGAGCGUCUGUAACAGAACCUGUCAGGUCUAUCAUGACUGGCAGAUCUGCGCCGGGUCAAGUGUAAAAUAGAUUUGUGGAUGGAAAUGCCACUAAAGUUGAUUUGUGCCUUUUUCUUAUUUGAAUCAGAAGAGGCCAAGAGCCAUUUUCUCCAUUCCCUGCCAUUCUACCUCACCACAUCUGGCAGCCAUGUCCCAAGAGGGGUAGUCUUUGCCUCUCCCCUCAGUGUUCUCUCAAGUCUUCCCAUCAAAGAGGGGAGCUGGACAUGUGGUGGGAGAGAGGGCAGAGUGCUCUGUGUGCCUUCCCCACCUGCCACCGUGGGUCUUUGCACCCUGGGAGCUCUCUGGGUGGGAUGCAUCGAGUUGCCUGGGAAGCUGGGACCUGACACAGGGACCCAGCAUCCCUCAUAGGUCUGCAGACAUAACAGCCAGGAACCAUGUAUUUCUAAGUACAUCAGGUCUCCUUAGAUCUUCAUACAUGAUGCAAGAUUAUUGAAGCCUGAUUUAUUUGCCCUUGUUAUUAAUCCUCAGACAGCUGUAAGCCAUGUCUGCUUUCAUGGAAACAGCAGUAGAAGGACCAGGCUCUCUGGUUAAUUUGGCUGUUGCACCAUUUCCUAAUAAACCAUUUGGAAAGCUUUUUAACCUGGACUAUCUCAAAACUGGUAUUUUUUUAUUACAGUCAUUGUUGGAGUUCAAGGUUUAGGAGGUGUUUGUUCAGGAGUGGAAGGUGUCCAGAAGGUGUGAGCAGCACUUUACUUGGUGAUGCUCACUUUUAAGGCGGAUAAACCCAAGAUAAACCAGGGCUGUAAAUUCUCUCAUAAAUACUUGAAGGUGGGAACAGAAUUAAGUUUUCCUCCAGUUCCCAUGGGAAGAAAAGAUUACUAAGUAGGGUUUAUUUAAUGGCAGAAUCCCACUCCUCUUGUGUACACAGUUUGGCCAUGUCUGCCAGUAGGGACAGGGCUACAAGAAAAACUGCAAUCACUGUGUGGCAAAGCAGUGCAUUUCUGGUAAACCAUUCAUGUGGGAUCAUCCAAAAUGUGGCUGAAGGUAAUAAAAAAAGGGGGAUUUCCAAAAUAGAACUCUGUCCAAAGCUCAGUGGCUGAAUUUUUUUUUUUUUACAGAUAUUUUAGACCACACACACAAAAAAAAGCAAUGUGAGACUAAUGAAUGAGCUGUGUUUGACAAGUGAGUGGUUCAGAUGUGGUGGACCUUGUAAGGUGGCUGAAGACUGUGGCCAACUCCAGGACCUUGGUUUACUGGGGCGAAAGGUAAAUGCCUAAAACCAGUUGUGGAGGCAGGUGAUCCUACCAAGGUUUUCCCCUGGAGGGAGAUGCCCUGAAAGAGUUGUGAUAAGGCUUAAUCUCAAACUCUGCCUGGGAGAGAUUCCUCCUGGAUAAAGCCAUCCUCUCCUGUCAUGGCCGUGAUUCAGGCAGGACUCAACACCUACUGGGAGGUGAACAUGGGAUCAGCCCUGCUGUGGUCAGUGGAGGACAUCUUCUCCCUGUGGUGCCCCUCAAGACCCAGACAGGGGCUGUGUCCGUGUGUACCAUGCCGGAUGCACUGCUCACCCUCUGACACCUCAGAGCAACCCCGUGGGAAGGCUGAGAGGAUGAGUUCACCUUUCCAGAUCACCGAAAAAGAAACCUGUGCUGCUUUUGAUCUGUUAUUUAUUUUGAGUGUUACUCUGACUAGACAUAGAAAAAAACAAAAAAACCCGACAAAACAAAAGCAACUUGGAGCCUCAGGUGUUUAUACAAAAUGUAGUUCAGUAAAUUGCUGUUAUAAAAGGCGGCUUCUCAUGGGGUUGCAAAUGAAUGAACGUGUAAAGCUAAGGAUUUGUCUUUCCUACUUGGCAUCAAUACCUGUGGUCAUGCUCUGGAAGUUUGACUUGUUUUGUCAUUUUUGAUACACAAAAUAAACAAAAACCUGAGACAAAGGACAAGCUUGUAAAUAGAGGAGCAGCCACUGGGGAAUUUUAUUAUAUUUGUUUGCAUUUUAUUACCUUCUUGUGCCAGCUAAUAAGGUGACCUUGCAACAGAUAGAUGCAGAUAAGGUUAGCUGCUUCUGUUGUCCUAUUUUGCAAACUGGGAAGUAAAUUGCUGAAAUUAUUGGGAAUAAGGAAAUUGCCUGUGGAAAAAAGAAAAAAAUCCCCUGCUGCUGUUAAUUCAAAGAGUAUAGUUUUAUGAGAUAGAUUGAAGUGAUUAACUGUUAUAACUGUUUGGGGUAAAAAUGAAAUUAAAAUGGGCUGGUAUUUUUUAUUGCUUCAACAAGAAGGAAAAGGCCAUGGGG